AUUUAUAUAGUUUAAAAAAAACAUUAUAUUUUCAAUAUAAAAAUAAUUAAAUUUAAUUUAUAAAUA